rnacentral:sRNA from 1 species
UUGGCGCGUGUUGACUAACAUAUGCCCGAAUUGAGCUACAGAAAAUUUCUUUAUUUUUUCUCGCUUAUCGCUUUUAAUAUUUUUUGUUGUGUCGCCUCUAUAUAACGCACGUAUCAUUUCGGUCUGUUUGGCUUGUUUUGCAUUGUUUUUCGACACAACAAAUCACAACAAUUCUGAGGAAUAAAAAAUGAAAUGGAAAAUUUUGCAAAUCAUAUAAAGUUUCAAACGAAGCUUAACUAGUGUUAAUUUAUGAAAAUUGUCAAACAUCCUGAUUAAAUCGAACUAAAUUCAACAAAUGUAGGGAAAAAAUGUAAACUAAGUUGAAUCCGUGAACUACGAAGAGCAAAAUUAAAAACAAAUUUAAGUUGUUAACCAUUAAAGUUAAAAAACCUUAACAAGUGUUUAAAGUUGUAGCCAAACAAAAAAAGUAGCAACAAAAUAGCCUUAGCCACAACCAAAACCCACAACAGGCUUUACAAACACAAGCAGCAUAAAUGAAAUUCACCAACACCAACAACCCCCCCUUAACUCCCAGAAGCCAAAUAAUAACCGUAGAGGCCAUAGAGAAUUGAAAUGAACUCAAAUUACUGAAAAAAAUGUCCUUAAUUAAAUAAAUAUCAUAGUGUUAGUGUGUGUGUUUUUGAUAUCGAUGUUGUUGUUGUUGUUGUUGCUGUUUACCCAAGUCUGAGUGUGCAAAUAGAGAAAAAAUAAACAAACGAAGAAAAAAAAAUACCUGUUGGUUUUCGUUUUAAUGGUUUCCUAACCCCGCACAUACACUCACUCGCACACACACACACACCAAUAACAAAAAUUAGCGUAGCAAUAAUAACAGCGAAAUAAAGCCAAACAACGGCAACAAAAAAUAGAAAAUUAAUUUAUAGUAUGUUGUAGAAGUGUCCUCUUGCGUGUACAGCCAAAGGGGAGAAAUGCUAUAAAAAAAGACUGUAGCUAUUGGAAUUGAAGUGAAUUGCAAUUUAUUAAGCUCCAGAAUGGAGGAAAUAAGUGUUUCUUUGCUCUAAGCUUCCUUCUGCAGCCAUUGAUGGCAAGGAAAAUUGGAAAUAUCAUACUCGUUGGUUUACUUGCCUCCUUGCUUACGCGUCCCCGCAAUAAUAACCGCAAAAAGGAACGAUUAGUUAAUUAUAAAUGUUUGCAUUAAAUGUGUCUUAAUUUGGAAGAGAGAAACGAAAAGUAUGUGUGUGUGUAAUAAUUUUCCAUGUAUAUAUGUGUGUGUGUGUAUAAUUUUGUGUCUUCGUUAAACAUCAUCUGAAAGUUAAUGAAUUAUUUACCCAAUCAACCACAGAACAUCAAAUCUUCGAAUGUUACUCAGCUAUCCAAAGGGAUUUAACAUCAAAUCAACGAAGCCGCAUCUUCACAAUCUUUACCUAGAAGUUGUGUAGCCCUCCCCCGCCCCAUACGCCAAGGAUUCAGCAACAAACGGAUUUAAUUUUUAUUUUUUACUACCCUCAUCAUGAUUCAAAACGCUCCUCGUAUAUGCAUCGAUAUUUGAGAUACUUUAUUUUAAGGUGAAACUAAAAGAAUGCCAAAAAUUAACCAAAACAUUUAUGUUCUCCAAAAAAAAAGAAAAAAUGAAUCCAUAUGAAAAACGAAUGCCAAACUUCCAAGUCAAAGUCAACGUAGCACAAUAAAACAUAUCCUAAAUGGUUUUAUUUUUUAAAAAAACAAAUAUUAAAAUAAAAAAAUCCUAAAAUACUUUAGAAACCAAAAGAAAUAAAAGAAAAAUCUUAUGAAAAAAGUCAACACACAAUUUUAACAGACUCCAAAGAACAAACAGCAGAAGAAAGAGAACCAAAUAUUUUUAUACCCCAACAACAAAAACUAAAACUUUUUCAAAAAAAACCAAACAAGAUUUGUAAA